rnacentral:hammerhead_ribozyme from 1 species
GUACUAAUGAAGAGUCUCAAACUAGGACGAAACAGCUUUCCAGUAC